rnacentral:rRNA from 1 species
AAAGGGACUUCGGUCCUGAGUACAGUGGCGCACGGGUGAGUAACACGUGAAUAAUCUACCUCCGAGUGGGGAAUAACUGAGAGAAAUCUUAGCUAAUACCGCAUAACACUUACGAGUCAAAGCAGCAAUGCGCUUGGAGAGGAGUUCGCGGCAGAUUAGUUAGUUGGCGGGGUAAUGGCCCACCAAGACGAUGAUCUGUAUCCGGCCUGAGAGGGCGCACGGACACACUGGAACUGAAACACGGUCCAGACUCCUACGGGAGGCAGCAGUGGGGAAUUUUGCGCAAUGGGGGAAACCCUGACGCAGCAACGCCGCGUGGAGGAUGAAAUCCCUUGGGAUGUAAACUCCUUUCGAUCGGGAAGAUAAUGACGGUACCGAGAGAAGAAGCCCCGGCUAACUUCGUGCCAGCAGCCGCGGUAAUACGAGGGGGGCAAGCGUUGUUCGGAAUUAUUGGGCGUAAAGGGUGCGUAGGCGGUUUGAUAAGUUUGAUGUGAAAUCUUUGGGCUCAACCCAGAGUCUGCAUCGAAAACUGUCGGGCUUGAGUAUGGGAGAGGUGAGUGGAAUUUCCGGUGUAGCGGUGAAAUGCGUAGAUAUCGGAAGGAACACCUGUGGCGAAAGCGGCUCACUGGACCAUUACUGACGCUGAUGCACGAAAGCUAGGGGAGCAAACAGGAUUAGAUACCCUGGUAGUCCUAGCCCUAAACGAUGAUUGCUUGAUGUGGUGGGUACCCAAUCCCGCCGUGUCGAAGCUAACGCGAUAAGCAAUCCGCCUGGGGAGUACGGUCGCAAGGCUGAAACUC